rnacentral:rRNA from 1 species
UUGUAGCCCGGCUAUGGUAUAAUUAGUGGCAGACGGGUGAGUAAUGUAUAGGAUCUACCUAGUAGUACGGAAUAAUUGUUGGAAACGACAACUAAUACCGUAUACGCCCUACGGGGGAAAAAUUUAUUGCUAUUAGAUGAGCCUAUAUUAGAUUAGCUAGUUGGUGGGGUAAUAGCCUACCAAGGUAAUGAUCUAUAGCUGAUCUGAGAGGAUGAUCAGCCACACUGGAACUGAGAUACGGUCCAGACUCCUACGGGAGGCAGCAGUGGGGAAUAUUGGACAAUGGGCGAAAGCCUGAUCCAGCCAUGCCGCAGAGUGAAGAAGGCCUUUGGGUUGUAAAGCUCUUUUAGUGAGGAAGAUAAUGACGGUACUCACAGAAGAAGUCCUGGCUAACUCCGUGCCAGCAGCCGCGGUAAUACGGAGAGGGCUAGCGUUAUUCGGAAUUAUUGGGCGUAAAGGGCGCGUAGGCUGGUUAAUAAGUUAAAAGUGAAAUCCCGAGGCUUAACCUUGGAAUUGCUUUUAAAACUAUUAAUCUAGAGAUUGAAAGAGGAUAGAGGAAUUCCUGAUGUAGAGGUAAAAUUCGUAAAUAUUAGGAGGAACACCAGUGGCGAAGGCGUCUAUCUGGUUCAAAUCUGACGCUGAAGCGCGAAGGCGUGGGGAGCAAACAGGAUUAGAUACCCUGGUAGUCCACGCUGUAAACGAUGAAUGUUAAAUAUGGGGAGUUUACUUUCUGUAUUACAGCUAACGCGUUAAACAUUCCGCCUGGGGACUACGGUCGCAAGAUUAAAACUCAAAGGAAUUGACGGGGACCCGCACAAGCGGUGGAGCCAUGUGGUUAAUCGAUGCAACGCGA